UCCAGACUUAAGGCUUGCUUAUACGUAAACUGUAGAUUGGGGCCCAGUACUUACAUGGUCACAUUUGGGUUUUAGGACACACGGGAGUUGCAUGCAAAACAGAACCAGUACCGGCGAAACCACCUCACAAUGACUGAAAAGCAGCUGGAAGAAUACCAAUGCUUCUGUUCAGAAAAAACAACACAGAUAAAAGCCACUCAGAUUCGCCUCAACAGGCACAAGGAGUUGGCCCAUGAACGAUACAAGGCUCUGGAACAGAAACUGCAACAAAACCCAGUUCUCCGUCCUCACCUGAAAAAGUGAUGUCUGUUUGCAGGAGUCCCAUGACACUGAUACUUCAUCCAAACUUCCAAAAACUUCAAAUAAAAAUUAUCUUUGAUCUAAACAAGUAAUGAAAGAGUAAAAUGUAAGUUUUUGUUUGAUUGACCAAACUGACAUCGGCGGUGGUGAAGAGGUAAAGCGGUCGACCUCUGAUCAGAAGAUUGACCGUUCUGUUCCACCCGUGUUUCAAAGUGUCCUCGGUCAACACACAGAACUCCCCAUUGAUCAUAGGUUGGCACCAGUGUUUGGCAGCGGAGCCACCAUCAGUGUGUGAAUGUGUGUGCAUGAGUGAAUGGGACUGUCAUUGUGUUUUCAGAGGAAGGUAGAACAGUGCUGUAUCUGUAAAUGCAGAUUACUAUCUGUGUCAGGAAGAGAUUUAAGACAACAAAGUGACAUUUGAUUAUCUGGGGCGGCUGUGGUGCAGUGGUAGGGCGGUUGACCUCCGAUCUUAUUAUUGCCGGCUCAAUUCCCGACUUUCCUGCCAUGUGUUAAAGUGUCUUUGGGCAAGACACUGAACCCUACCUCGCCUCUGGUGGAAGGUUGGUGCCAGUGUUCAGCAGCGGAGCCGCCACCAGAAUGGGUCUGUGACUGUAAAGUGCUUUGGGCCUUCGAGGAAGGUAUAUAAGUUUACGUCAUUUAUCUAUUUGCAGCAGCUAGAACCACGUUUCUCAUCUGAGAUGCUUAAUGGCAUGAUGGCAAAUUUUCUCAAUAUAACCAAACUAAACAAAAUAACCAAUGUUGUAGUUUACAGAAAAAUGUGUUGACGGGUGUGAUGGAAAAAUGGAACAAGAACUUUUA
rnacentral:lncRNA from 1 species